AACCAGAAGGGGCGGAGGAAGCACUGCUUUGAACUGGGGGAUGGGGAGAAAGCCACUACCCAACCCCCUCCCCUCACUUUGCAUGCAGUGGGGGAGCCCUCUCUGUCUUGGACUUGACUCCACACAAGGAUGUAGCUCUCUGGACGAUCAGUCUGGUAGACCCUCUCCCUGCGCUGCCCUGCCUCUGCCAGAUACUACAGAAAUGAGGCUCCUUUGUGCAAGGCAUUGUAUGUUGCGUAGUAAGAGACAGUAGCUCUACUGGAAAGCUUACAGACUAAAUUGGCAAGACAGUCCAAGGAAGGAAGUUGACUUGCACAGAAUCAUGCUGCAGUAGGUGAAAAGACAGGGCUGGUGUUAGAGGGUUGCAAGCAGUGAAAUUGCCCAGGAUCUCAUGCUGCAAGAGGCCCUGCAAAGCUAAGCUGCUUUGGCUUCAGCUUCAGACCCAGGCAGUGGGCCUCUGCAUUCUGCCCAGGACCCAGCGAGUCUAAUACCAGUCCUGCUCUUCAUUGUAUUUUGGUGGACCUCCUGAACCUGCCUGCAGCCACCUAAGGGGCCCUGAACCUCCUGCUUGAGAACUGCUACCUUCGAACAUCCCACAGAAAAAAAAAAGGUUGCAGGGGGUGAAUCUGAAUCUCACUGCUGCAGACUAGAGGACUCACAGCUUCAUCUGCUGUUGAUCAGAAAUGGAUCCCAGUUGCUUGGAGCGAGGUCCAGCAGGUAUUGGCUGCUGCUGGGUAAGGAUCUGAAGCCCAAAGAAUCCUGGAUAGACGGCAAGCCCCCAAUCUCUCUGUCCUCACUAUGAAUAAACAUUGCUUCACUGCG